rnacentral:rRNA from 1 species
CGUAGGGUGCAAGCGUUAUCCGGAAUUAUUGGGCGUAAAGAGCUCGUAGGCGGUUUGUCGCGUCUGCUGUGAAAACUGGAGGCUCAACCUCCAGCCUGCAGUGGGUACGGGCAAACUAGAGUGCGGUAGGGGAGAUUGGAAUUCCUGGUGUAGCGGUGGAAUGCGCAGAUAUCAGGAGGAACACCGAUGGCGAAGGCAGAUCUCUGGGCCGUAACUGACGCUGAGGAGCGAAAGCAUGGGGAGCGAACAGGAUUAGAUACCCUGGUAGUCCAUGCCGUAAACGUUGGGCGCUAGAUGUGGGGACCAUUCCACGGUUUCCGUGUCGCAGCUAACGCAUUAAGCGCCCCGCUGGGGAGUACGGCCGCAAGGCUA